UCAUGCAAUGAUCAUAUGUCUAAUGCAUCGGAUCUCAUUAGAACUUCGCAGUUAAGUGCGCUCGGACUAGAGUAGUACUAAGAUGGGUGAUUGUCUGGGAAUUCCUAGUGUUUUACAUGCC
rfam:Picea glauca, whole genome shotgun sequence.